CCUACGGGAGGCAGCAGUGGGGAAUAUUGGACAAUGGGGGGAACCCUGAUCCAGCCAUGCCGCGUGUGUGAAGAAGGCCCUCGGGUUUUAAAGCACUUUCAGUGAGGAAGAACGCCUGGUGGUUAAUACCCAUCAGGAAAGACAUCACUCACAGAAGAAGCACCGGCUAACUCCGUGCCAGCAGCCGCGGUAAUACGGAGGGUGCGAGCGUGAAUCGGAAUUACUGGGCGUAAAGCGCGCGUAGGUGGCUUGAUAAGCCGGUUGUGAAAGCCCCGGGCUCAACCUGGGAACGGCAUCCGGAGCUGUCAAGCUAGAGUGCAGGAGAGGAAGGUAGAAUUGCCGGUGUAGCGGUGAAAAGCGUAGAGAUCGGGAGGAAUACCAGUGGCGAAGGCGGCCUUCUGGACUGACACUGACACUGAGGUGCGAAAGCGUGGGUAGCAAACAGGAUUAGAUACCCGAGUAGUC
rnacentral:rRNA from 1 species